rnacentral:rRNA from 1 species
AGGGAAUCUUCCGCAAUGGACGAGAGUCUGACGGAGCAACGCCGCGUGAGCGAAGAAGGUCUUCGGAUCGUAAAGCUCUGUUGUCAGGGAAGAACAAGUACCGUUCGAACAGGGCGGUACCUUGACGGUACCUGACCAGAAAGCCACGGCUAACUACGUGCCAGCAGCCGCGGUAAUACGUAGGUGGCAAGCGUUGUCCGGAAUUAUUGGGCGUAAAGCGCGCGCAGGCGGUCUCUUAAGUCUGAUGUGAAAGCCCACGGCUCAACCGUGGAGGGUCAUUGGAAACUGGGAGACUUGAGUGCAGAAGAGGAGAGCGGAAUUCCACGUGUAGCGGUGAAAUGCGUAGAGAUGUGGAGGAACACCAGUGGCGAAGGCGGCUCUCUGGUCUGUAACUGACGCUGAGGCGCGAAAGCGUGGGGAGCGAAC